ACAAGAAUGACUGCACUUUAUCUUCUGUUUUAAAAAUUAAGCUUUCCCAUUCCUUGUUUCUCCUCCUCUUCCUUCUUUUUUUUCUGUUUUUCUAAGCAGAUUCUAAGCAGACUCACUUCCUUUUCAUAAUUUAUUAAUUUCAACUCUCCAGUUGUGGAUCAGGGGUCUACUCAUCUUUUAUGAAGAAACAAGAAAAUAAAGAAGAAAGUUUACUCCAUUGUGAAUCCUCAGUAAGGCUUCAAAAGCAGGGAAUGUCUGGCUGCCAAAAGACUGAAGAAAGAAGAAAAACAGGAAAGAAAAAGAACACAGU
rnacentral:lncRNA from 11 species